CAAAGUAUGACAUGCAGUAUGUAGUGAAAGUGCUAUAGCGAAAAAUAAACCAAGGGAGGGAUGGUGUAAGAUGUACAAGGUUUGUGAGGUGAAGACAUUGCAGGUAGAGGAAACAUCAGGUGCAAAUAUCCUAAAAACCAGCAAGAAGAGCAGUGUUUGAAACAGAGAAAUACAGAAAGUGGAGGACAUAAUGUCAGAAAGGCAGUGAAACACACUUGUGUUGACAAUCAAACAAAAAGAUUAUCUCGUGAGCAUUUAAAACCAGUCUUGUCUUCAUGGAGAUUUGAGAUCAUACAUUUUAACGUAGAAGAAAAUAUAUCUUCGUAUCAUGUGUUGUAAAUUUGGGCUCAGUUUUAAGAAGUCCUUUCCCACUCUAAGGCCACAAAAUGAUUUGGCCAGAUCCUCUCAAGAUGAAAGAUGAAAGGUGUGCCUGAUUUCAAAAAUUAAAGAACUAUGCCUGAAAGCGGU
rnacentral:lncRNA from 1 species